AACAUUAACCUAGGAGCAAAAAGGGGCAAAACUCACCUCAAGAGUAGAAAUCUCUUCCAAAGCUCCAAAAGAGAGCUAGAACCCUUCCAAUCCAAGCCCAAGGAAGGUUCUAAUCCAAUCAAUCUAGCCCCAAAAGUCCUAGAUCAAAAAGCCCCAAAAUCAACCCUAAAUCCUCAUUCUAGGGUUCCAAUACAAUAAAACCUCAAAUCCAAGGUCUAGAUGGAGAGAAAGGGCUACCAACCUCAAAGAAGCUUCAAUCCAAGCUCAAAGGGUGAAGAUCUUCUCCUUUGCAAGCUCUAAGU
rnacentral:lncRNA from 1 species